rnacentral:rRNA from 1 species
GGGUAAUCUGCCUUGGAGUGGGGGAUAACUAGUCGAAAGACUAGCUAAUACCGCAUAAGACCACGAGAUCUGCGGAUCUUGAGGUCAAAGGUUUUUCGCUCUAAGAUGAGCCCGCGUAAGAUUAGCUAGUUGGUGAGGUAAUGGCUCACCAAGGCGACGAUCUUUAACUGGUCUGAGAGGAUGAUCAGUCACACUGGAACUGAGACACGGUCCAGACUCCUACGGGAGGCAGCAGUAGGGAAUAUUGCGCAAUGGGGGAAACCCUGACGCAGCGACGCCGCGUGAGUGAUGAAGGACUUCGGUUCGUAAAGCUCUGUUGCAAGGGAAAAAUAAAGUGAUUGUACCUUGUGAGGAAGGGUCGGCUAACUUCGUGCCAGCAGCCGCGGUAAGACGAGGGACCCUAGCGUUGUUCGGAAUCAUUGGGCGUAAAGCGGGUGUAGGUGGCUUUGUAAGUCAGGUGUGAAAUCCCAGGGCUCAACCCUGGACGUGCAUUUGAUACUGCGAAGCUUGAGUGCUGGAGAGGUUACUAGAAUUCCAGGU